rnacentral:lncRNA from 1 species
GUCGGAAAAAGGUUGUCGGCGUUGCGCGGCGCGGCGCAUCGCUCGCGCGUGAGCAAAAAAAUGCAUUCUCCCAUGUUUGCACCCAUCUUUGAUCUUUUCCUUUCCCUGGGCGCCCUACUGCCACCCGCCCUGCUCUCGUGUCUGACGGGGGGCUAGCCUUCUUCUUGCGCCAUAUUUCUAUGUUUACAUUUCAGGAAAAAUCCUUAUGUACCCGUGUGUCUCGAACCCGAGCGGUCCUGCUCCGUAGCCCAUCACUGAGCCCACUAGGCUAUGCUGUUGACUUGCGAGUAUCUCUUCGGAACUUCUAUACUAGCCUUGAGCAGCCGAUGCCUGUAAGCAGGAUCUGGGCAUGCGCAGUAUGGCGCGUGUUGUGCCGGCCUGUCACGUGCUCCAGACGGCUACGCAUGCGCAGGGG